UACGUAGGGUGCAGGCGUUAAUCGGAAUUACUGGGCGUAAAGCGUGCGCAGGCGGUUUGCUAAGACAGGUGGGAAAUCCCCGGGCUUAACCUGGGAACUGCGCUUGUUACUGGCAGGCUUGAGUGUGGCAGAGGGGGGUGGAAUUCCACGUGUAGCAGUGAAAUGCGUAGGGAUGUGGAGGAACACCGAUGGCGAAGGCAGCCCCCUGGGCUAACACUGACGCUCAUGCACGAAAGCGUGGGGAGCAAACAGG
rnacentral:rRNA from 1 species